UACGUAGGGUGCAGGCGUUGUCCGGAAUUAUUGGGCGUAAAGAGCUUGUAGGCGGUUUGUCGCGUCUGCUGUGAAAUUUCGGGGCUCAACCCCGAACUUGCAGUGGGUACGGGCAGACUAGAGUGUGGUAGGGGAGACUGGAAUUCCUGGUGUAGCGGUGAAAUGCGCAGAUAUCAGGAGGAACACCGGUGGCGAAGGCGGGUCUCUGGGCCGAUACUGACGCUGAGGAGCGAAAGCGUGGGGAGCGAACAGG
rnacentral:rRNA from 1 species